AGUGAACGCUGGCGGCAGGCCUAACACAUGCAAGUCGAACGGCAGCACAGUAAGAGCUUGCUCUUACGGGUGGCGAGUGGCGGACGGGUGAGGAAUACAUCGGAAUCUACUUUUUCGUGGGGGAUAACGUAGGGAAACUUACGCUAAUACCGCAUACGACCUACGGGUGAAAGCAGGGGAUCUUCGGACCUUGCGCGAUUGAAUGAGCCGAUGUCGGAUUAGCUAGUUGGCGGGGUAAAGGCCCACCAAGGCGACGAUCCGCAGCUGGUCUGAGAGGAUGAUCAGCCACACUGGAACUGAGACACGGUCCAGACCCCUACGGGAGGCAGCAGUGGGGAAUAUUGGACAAUGGGCGCAAGCCUGAUCCAGCCAUACCGCGUGGGUGAAGAAGGCCUUCGGGUUGUAAAGCCCUUUUGUUGGGAAAGAAAAGCAGCAGGUUAAUACCCCGCUGUUCUGACGGUACCCAAAGAAUAAGCACCGGCUAACUUCGUG
rnacentral:rRNA from 1 species